rnacentral:snRNA from 1 species
AAAUGUCACCCAAAGAGAGUGC